rnacentral:rRNA from 1 species
CUGAUUAGCUAGUUGGUGAGGUAAAGGCUUACCAAGGCGUCGAUCAGUAGUUGGUCUGAGAGGACGACCAGCCACACUGGGACUGAGACACGGCCCAGACUCCUACGGGAGGCAGCAGUGGGGAAUUUUGGACAAUGGGGGAAACCCUGAUCCAGCCAUGCCGCGUGAGUGAAGAAGGCCUUCGGGUUGUAAAGCUCUUUCAGCCGGAACGAAACGGUCACGGCUAAUACCUGUGACUACUGACGGUACCGGAAGAAGAAGCACCGGCUAACUACGUGCCAGCAGCCGCGGUAAUACGUAGGGUGCAAGCGUUAAUCGGAAUUACUGGGCGUAAAGCGUGCGCAGGCGGUUUUGUAAGUCAGAUGUGAAAUCCCCGGGCUUAACCUGGGAACUGCGUUUGAAACU